rnacentral:lncRNA from 1 species
GUUGCGGAAGCUGAAGGAAACUCGACAUUGACAUCUUCGCCAACUGAUACCAUAUUAUUUCUGAUGCCGUCGUCGUUUGCAGCGUAUUGGGUUCAAUCGUUCACCAGAAUGCCAAGGAGGCCGACGUGAGCAGAAGAGGGCAGAAAUUAGGUAUUCUCGACUUAACUAUCGAGUACCAACUGUCUGCUUAGGUGGACUGUUUAGAAGUUAAACAGG